CUUCUCCCCUCAGUCUCAGUCAGAGGCCAGCUGCAUCCACCUCUUGAUGUAUUUCUCAAUUUCACCAUCAGAAGCUUUGGUUCUAUGGUGGUUUCACCAGACAGCACCUUUAAAAAUGAGAGACACAGUGAGAGAGAGAGAGACAAAAGGACACCCCUGCCCGACUCCCGGUUCAACCCGUGCCAACCAGCUGUAAGUGUCCAGGGCUCCAUGAAGAACCAUCCACUGGAGGUCCCCUGACCUCUUUGGUACUG
rnacentral:lncRNA from 1 species